UCCAUUCCACCUUUCUUCAGGGCUCCUAAAUGCAGUGCUCAAGUCAGAGAACCAAUCUAGAGAUCACGAGAAGAAGAAAAAAAAGGUCAAAGAUAAGGGUGAAAAGUACAAGAAGCAGAAGCACAGACUACAUCGAGUAAAUAAUGGAAGUUGCAUAGAAAACAUCAGAGUCAAAUCCCAUGAUCCCCAUCCCUUGCAGGUGAAGAACCAACAAAACAAGAAAAGGAAGACAGAUUCAAGCAAAGAUCCUUCUGCAUGCAAGAGAUAAAAAUGCUGUAAAGAGAGGCAGAAUUUGACUAUUUUCUCUGUGAAAUAUGUGAUCAAUUCAGAAGCUGACAGUAAACUCUAUUUUUUGUCUUAUUUAACAUUUUAUGUGCUCUUCUCCAUCCUUUAAUUUCAAAUAUGGCUCGCCAGUAAAGUUAGGAUGUCAAAAUAGGUUAUGGGCCACCACUCAGCCCGCAUUGGCAAGUCUUGCCUAGUUUGUUGAUUUUUUUUUAAAA